rnacentral:rRNA from 1 species
UACGUGGGGUGCAAGCGUUGUUCGGAAUUACUGGGCGUAAAGGGCUCGUAGGUGGCCAACUAAGUCAGACGUGAAAUCCCUCAGCUUAACUGGGGAACUGCGUCUGAUACUGGAUGGCUUGAGAUUGGGAGAGGGAUGCGGAAUUCCAGGUGUAGCGGUGAAAUGCGUAGAUAUCUGGAGGAACACCGGUGGCGAAGGCGGCAUCCUGGACCAACACUGACACUGAGGAGCGAAAGCCAGGGGAGCAAACGGG